rnacentral:rRNA from 1 species
UAGGGAAUCUUCGGCAAUGGACGGAAGUCUGACCGAGCAACGCCGCGUGAGUGAAGAAGGUUUUCGGAUCGUAAAGCUCUGUUGUAAGAGAAGAACGAGUGUGAGAGUGGAAAGUUCACACUGUGACGGUAUCUUACCAGAAAGGGGCGGCUAACUACGUGCCAGCAGCCGCGGUAAUACGUAGGUCCCGAGCGUUGUCCGGAUUUAUUGGGCGUAAAGCGAGCGCAGGCGGUUAGAUAAGUCUGAAGUUAAAGGCUGUGGCUUAACCAUAGUACGCUUUGGAAACUGUUUAACUUGAGUGCAAGAGGGGAGAGUGGAAUUCCAUGUGUAGCGGUGAAAUGCGUAGAUAUAUGGAGGAACACCGGUGGCGAAAGCGGCUCUCUGGCUUGUAACUGACGCUGAGGCUCGAAAGCGUGGGGAGCAAACAGGAUUAGAUACCCUGGUAGUCCACGCCGUAAACGAUGAGUGCUAGGUGUUAGACCCUUUCCGGGGUUUAGUGCCGCAGCUAACGCAUUAAGCACUCCGCCUGGGGAGUACGACCGCAAGGUUG